GGAGGGUGGGCACUCAGGGCUGAGCAAGCACUCCUCAGUUUACCGGCAGGCUGCUGAAGGCCUCGGGCAGGAUAGAAGACAGAGCGUCACAGGCGCUCGCUUGCAGAGUUGGGUGCUCGGAAUUCUGCAGGGCUCUAGGCAGAGGGCCGUUCAGCAUCAUAGUCCAGAACAUCACCACCUGGAACAGGGCCACAGUUAAAACCGCCACCAUGAACCAACAAUGGAACCAACUCAAUGCAGACUGCCACAGGGGGCUGUAGUAAUGAAAUAUCCUUCUAUAAAGUAGUGGCUUCUUUUAAGUGCUUCUGCUAGUCCUUCUUCUACAGCAAUGGAAGGAACUUCAGAAAACAAUGACUGCCUCCUUCUACUUUAAUGACCAGAAAAUGGUCUGCUACUGUCAGGCGGCCAGAGAAGACAAUCAUGACAAAGGGGGUAAAGGAUGGCGGUAACAGCAGCAGCCAUGGCCCCUCAAGUUUUCCAGAGAGCAUCUCAUAUGCCAGGCGCUGCCCUCAGUGUCUCACACACAUCUAUCCACCGCAGUCCUCAGCACAAUUAAAUGAAGUAGAGUCAUUAUCUCUACUUUCACACAAGGAAACUGAGGUGUGAAGGGAUGGCAUCAGGGUCCCACAGAGCCCAGAGGCUGGUACCAGAGCCCAAAGAACGCAGGAUCCAGAGGCAGAGCUGGGGCUGGAUCCUUCAGUGGCUACAUCCCAUCUCUGCAACCUUGGACAAGUCACUGAACCUGUCUCAUUGUCAGUUCCUCUUCAGUAGAACAGGGUGAAGCUGUCUACUUGGCAGAGUCUAGGGAAAGCCAGCCACUGUAUCAAGAAGACACUCAUGCAGUCCUCUGGAGAGGUCCUCAUGGGGAGGAGGAAGUGAGGCCCACCACCAAAAGGCAGCACUAAUUUGCUAGGUAUAAAUAAGUGAGCCAUGGUGAAGAUCCUCGAACCUCUGUCAAGUUCAGGUAACUGCAGCCCCUCCUGGGAUCCUGACGGCAACCUCAGAGAGACCUGAGUUAAGCUACUCCCAAUUCCUGUGUCACAGAAACCAUAAUUACUGUAUCAACAUGGGACGCCUGGGUGGCUCAGCAGUUGAGCAUCUGCCUUUGGCUUGGGGCGUGAGCCCGGAGUACUGAGAACAAGUUCUACAUCGAGCUCCCUGCAUGGAGACCGCUUCUCCCUCUGCCUAUGUCUCUGCCAAUCUCUCUCUCUGUCUCAUGAAUAAAUAAAUAAAAUCUUAAAAAAAAAAUUACUGUAUCAUCUAGCAUACCCACCUGUCACAUAAAAACAGAGGUGAUUAAAAUGGCUUACAACAAAAAGGAAUGCAUCUGAUAUUUACAACCAAGUCUUCUCCCAACCUCCACCCAAAACAAAAUAAUAGAGCACUCACACCUAAAAUACAACUUCCCCUAACACCUCUGCCCUGUGGCUCCAUUUUACAUUAUUUUCAUGGACUCACUUCUCACAAUCCAGCAUCCUUUGAAGGCAGAAUUAUUUCUUCCAUUUCAGAAAUGAGGAGCUGAAACCUCCUACCUGUAAGGCCUCCAGCCGCAUAGGGGAUGGUUCAUAGGUGCUUCCUGCCGCACAGCCAGCAUCGCUACCUGAACAGGAAUCCUCCUUGGGCAAUACAACAGUGGAAAUGCAGAGUCGGAUGAGCCAGCAGGGCUCUGAAGUCCCCUUUGGGGAGCUAACUGAUGCUUCUUCCAGAAAGGGUCCUGAGGGGGCCUUCUUCCACCAGUCAGGAGUGCUGAGGUGGGGAGUCGCUGAAUUGCUAUUGUUGAGUCCGGAAGAACAGGGUUGCUGUAAAAGCAGCUGGACUUCAGGUAAAGGUGCGUGAGUGGAGACUAUGGCUCCCAAAAGAGUGAAGCUUGACACUCGAACAUUCACAUCUGUCAAAGUUAGUGGGAAUCACUAUCACUGUGGAAACAGCUAUCAUAGAGAUUGUAAUUACCACCGCAGGCAAUGGAGAACUAGGACAUCCUUGGUUAACCUAUAUCUAAUUAAAUCCCUAGCCCUAACUUCCAGCUUAGAGAAAUACAUGGGACACAAACAGAAGUUCAACAACACUGUAAAGAAACUGAGCAUGUGAAACGUGCUGGAAGACAACUGUCUGGGACUCAUCCGUAAAUCAACGUGGCGAAAGAAAGAAAGGGGUGACGAGACUGUUCUAGGUUAGAAGAGACUAGAGUGACAUGAUAAUGAUAUGUAAUGCAUACACCCAGAAUGAACUCAAGUGCUUACAAAAAAUGAGGAAACGGGGCACCUGGGUGGCUUAGUAAUUGAGUAUCUGCCUUUGGCUCAGGUCAUGAUCCUGGGGUUCUGGGGUUCUGGGAUCGAGUCCCACAACAGGCUCCCUAUAGGGAGUGUGCUUCUCCCUCUGCCUAUGUUUCUGCCUCUCUCUGUGUCUCUCAUGAAUAAAUAAAAUCUUUAAAAAAAAAAGAAAGAAAAAAGUCGAGGAAAAGACUUUUUGAGACAUGGGGAAAUCUGAACGUGGAGUAGAUACCAGACAGUAUUAUGGAACCAGUAUAAUUUUCUUAGGUGCAUGGAACCAAUGUAAUUUUCUUAGGUGCGAGAAUAGUGGUGUGUUUUUUUGGAGAUUGUCUUUAUUCUUAAAAAAAAAAGGUUCAUGCUGAGAUAUUUAGGAUGAAAUAUCGUGUCUGUAACUGACUUUCAAAUGGUUCAAAAAUAUAGAUAUUUAUACACGUAUAUGCAUACACAUACACAGAUGCAUAUAUGUGGAUGGAGGCAAAGCCAACAUAACAAAUGUUAACUGUGAAAUCUAGGUAGAUGUAGGCUGAUGUUCACUAUACUAUUCUUUCAGAUUUCUGGGGGUUUGACUAUUUUAAAAAUAAAAAUAUUGGAAGAUCAAGCCAGAUACUUGGAAGGGACUUUUGAUUAGCAAUAAUUGCGCCUCGGAUAAACCUCAUUGGCUAUGAUACUGCCACUACGCAAAGCUGGAAAGGACUUUUGAGACAUGACCUACUGCUCUCAGUUUACAGAUAGAGAAAAGCUGGUGCAGUGAAAGAGCAAGGGACUAAGCCCAAAGACGUGGAUUGUUUCCAUCUUACUUCUGCCACUGACAUGAUAAGAGACCCCAAGGCAAGACUUACCUUUCUGGGUCCCCUUUUACACAUUGGGGAAACAAGUGAAUUGGACUUAGUUUACACAUCAUUAACUCAUUUAAGCCUUAUAAAUAUCUUAUAUGAGGUGGGUCUACUUCUUCCUCUUAGGAGGAAACAAGGGUUCUGAUAGCUGCAAUUAUGAGAUGGCAAAACAGAUAUGGGCUGCAGACCCUCAGCCUGACUCCAGGUCCACUAGCUCUUCCAUGAUGUCACAGAAACAUUACCACCUCCUUCAAGUACCAGAAUUCUCACCGAAAAACUUAACUUACUGGAAUAUGGUCUGAUCCUAAAGCUUGCAACCAAAAGAAAAACAAAUGUUCUCCAUGCAAGUAUUAUAGCAUAUAUAUAUUAUGUGUGGGAGUAAGCCAGGAAAUAAUAAGAAAUAAGAUUGUGUCAGUGGGGAUUUGAGGUUCUAGAAUUUUAUCUGAAAUUCAGAGGAGACAAUGUUAAAGAAGUUAGGUUUUAUAUUCCAGUUUUUUUUUUUUUCUAAAAAGAUGAUGUCUAUGUGACUAUCCAUCCUUUUUUUUCUAAAUAUUUAUUUUAGAGAGA